UAGGGAAUCUUCGGCAAUGGUCGAAAGUCUGACCGAGCAACGCCGCGUGAGUGAAGAAGGUUUUCGGAUCGUAAAACUCUGUUGUUAGAGAAGAACAAGGACGUUAGUAACUGAACGUCCCCUGACGGUAUCUAACCAGAAAGCCACGGCUAACUACGUGCCAGCAGCCGCGGUAAUACGUAGGUGGCAAGCGUUGUCCGGAUUUAUUGGGCAUAAAGCGAGCGCAGGCGGUUUCUUAAGUAUGAUGUGAAAGCCCCCGGCUCAACCGGGGAGGGUCAUUGGAAACUGGGAGACUUGAGUGCAGAAGAGGAGAGUAGAAUUCCAUGUGUAGCGGUGAAAUGCGUAGAUAUAUGGAGGAACACCAGUGGCGAAGGCGGCUCUCUGGUCUGUAACUGACGCUGAGGCUCGAAAGCGUGGGGAGCAAACAGG
rnacentral:rRNA from 1 species